rnacentral:rRNA from 1 species
GCGCCGCUGCAGAGUUUGAUCCUGGCUCAGAUUGAACGCUGGCGGCAGGCUUAACACAUGCAAGUCGAGCGGUAACAGGAGAAGCUUGCUUCUUGCUGACGAGCGGCGGACGGGUGAGUAAUACUUAGGAAUCUGCCCAGUAGUGGGGGAUAGCUCGGGGAAACUCGAAUUAAUACCGCAUACACCCUACGGGGAAAAGGGGGCGCUUGCGCUCUCGCUAUUGGAUGAGCCUAAGUCGGAUUAGCUAGUUGGUGGGGUAAAGGCCUACCAAGGCGACGAUCUGUAGCUGGUCUGAGAGGAUGAUCAGCCACACCGGGACUGAGACACGGCCCGGACUCCUACGGGAGGCAGCAGUGGGGAAUAUUGGACAAUGGGGGCAACCCUGAUCCAGCCAUGCCGCGUGUGUGAAGAAGGCCUUUUGGUUGUAAAGCACUUUAAGCAGUGAAGAAGACUCUAUGGUUAAUACCCAUAGACGAUGACAUUAGCUGCAGAAUAAGCACCGGCUAACUCUGUGCCAGCAGCCGCGGUAAUACAGAGGGUGCAAGCGUUAAUCGGAAUUACUGGGCGUAAAGCGAGCGUAGGUGGCUUGAUAAGUCAGAUGUGAAAUCCCCGGGCUUAACCUGGGAACUGCAUCUGAUACUGUUAGGCUAGAGUAGGUGAGAGGGAGGUAGAAUUUCAGGUGUAGCGGUGAAAUGCGUAGAGAUCUGAAGGAAUACCGAUGGCGAARGCAGCCUCCUGGCAUCAUACUGACACUGAGGUUCGAAAGCGUGGGUAGCAAACAGGAUUAGAUACCCUGGUAGUCCACGCCGUAAACGAUGUCUACUAGCCGUUGGGGAACUUGAUUCCUUAGUGACGCAGCUAACGCAAUAAGUAGACCGCCUGGGGAGUACGGCCGCAAGGUUAAAACUCAAAUGAAUUGACGGGGGCCCGCACAAGCGGUGGAGCAUGUGGUUUAAUUCGAUGCAACGCGAAGAACCUUACCUGGUCUUGACAUAUCUAGAAUCCUGCAGAGAUGCGGGAGUGCCUUCGGGAAUUAGAAUACAGGUGCUGCAUGGCUGUCGUCAGCUCGUGUCGUGAGAUGUUGGGUUAAGUCCCGCAACGAGCGCAACCCUUUUCCUUAGUUACCAGCGGUUUGGCCGGGGACUCUAAGGAUACUGCCAGUGACAAACUGGAGGAAGGCGGGGACGACGUCAAGUCAUCAUGGCCCUUACGACCAGGGCUACACACGUGCUACAAUGGUAGGUACAGAGGGCAGCUACACAGCGAUGUGAUGCGAAUCUCAAAAAGCCUAUCGUAGUCCAGAUUGGAGUCUGCAACUCGACUCCAUGAAGUCGGAAUCGCUAGUAAUCGCGGAUCAGAAUGCCGCGGUGAAUACGUUCCCGGGCCUUGUACACACCGCCCGUCACACCAUGGGAGUUGAUUGCACCAGAAGUGGGUAGCCUAACUUUUAGAGGGCGCUCACCACGGUGUGGUCGAUGACUGGGGUGAAGUCGUAACAAAGGUAA